rnacentral:rRNA from 1 species
AUGAUCAUUGGAAAUGGCUCGACGGCGCUUUUUUGGGAAGAUCGCUGGAUUGGCGGGCAGUCUGUCGGUGAGAUAGCUCCCCUACUCUACCAAUGCAUUCCCAAACGUCGACGCAAGGCCAGGACGGUGGCAGAAGGGCUGGCGGGUAACUCUUGGGCACAUGAUAUACAAGGGGUCCUGGGUCUGCACGAGAUCGGACAAUACCUACUGCUAUGGCAGGCUGUGUGA